rnacentral:rRNA from 1 species
UACGGAGGAUCCGAGCGUUAUCCGGAUUUAUUGGGCUUAAAGGGUGCGUAGGCGGACUGGUAAGUCAGCUGUGAAAGUUUACGGCUCAACCGUGAAGUUGCAGUUGAGACUGUUGGUCUUGAGUAUACAUGAGGUAGGCGGAAUUUGUGGUGUAGCGGUGAAAUGCUUAGAUAUCACAAAGAACUCCAAUUGCGAAGGCAGGUGACUGGGGUAUAACUGACGCUGAUGCACGAAAGUGUGGGUAUCAAACGGG